rnacentral:rRNA from 1 species
CUACGGGGGCUGCAGUGAGGAAUUUUGCGCAAUGGGGGAAACCCUGACGCAGCAACGCCGCGUGAGUGAAGAAGGCCCUUGGGUCGUAAAGCUCUGUCAAUGGGGAAGAAGUUAUUAUGUGUUAAUAGCACAUUUUAUUGACGGUACCCAUGAAGGAAGCACCGGCUAACUCAGUGCCAGCAGCCGCGGUAAUACUGAGGGUGCAAGCGUUAAUCGGAAUUACUGGGCGUAAAGCGCGCGUAGGUGGUUAGAUCAGUUGGGUGUGAAAGCCCCGGGCUCAACCUGGGAAUUGCAUCCAAUACUGUCUGGCUAGAGUAUGGUAGAGGGAAGUGGAAUUCCGCAUGUAGCGGUGAAAUGCGUAGAGAUGCGGAGGAACACCAGUGGCGAAGGCGACUUUCUGGACCAAUACUGACACUGAGGUGCGAAAGCGUGGGGAGCAAACAGGAUUAGAUACCCUUGUAGUC